rnacentral:rRNA from 1 species
CAGCAGCCGCGGGAACACGAAGGGGGCUAGCGUUGCCCGGAAUUACUGGGCGUAAAGGGAGCGUAGGCGGAUCGUUAAGUUGGGGGUGAAAGCCCGGGGCUCCACCUCGGAAUUGCCUUCAAUACUGGCGAUCUUGAGUAUGGAAGAGGUAUGUGGAACUCCGAGUGUAGAGGUGAAAUUCGUAGAUAUUCGGAAGAACACCAGUGGCGAAGGCGACAUACUGGUCCAUUACUGACGCUGAGGCUCGAAAGCGUGGGUAGCAAACAGGAUUAGAGACCCCCGUAGUCCCUGUCUCUUAUAC